CAGGCCUAACACAUGCAAGUCGAGCGGGAUCCCCCCUUCGGGGGGGUGAGAGCGGCGGACGGGUGCGCAACGCGUAUGCAACCCACCCCGACGCGGCGGACAGCCGGUGGAAACGCCGGGCGAUCCGCCAUGCGGCCCUUGGGGGGCAUCCCCUGUGGGCCAAAGCCUUAUGGCGCGUCGGGACGGGCAUGCGUCCCAUUAGCUUGUAGGCGGGGCGACGGCCCACCUAGGCUACGAUGGGUAGGGGAUCUGAGAGGACGGUCCCCCACACUGGCACUGAGACACGGGCCAGACUCCUGCGGGAGGCAGCAGUAGGGGAUAUUGGUCAAUGGGCGGGAGCCUGAACCAGCCAUGCCGCGUGAGGGAAUGGGGCCCUACGGGUCGUGAACCUCUUUUGACCGGGGACAACGGCGGCGUCGUGAACGCCGCGUGAGGGUACCGGUGGAAUAAGCGCCGGCUAACUCCGUGCCAGCRGCCGCGGUAAUACGGGAGGGCGCGAGCGUUAUCCGGAUUCAUUGGGUUUAAAGGGUGCGCAGGCGGCCUGCCAAGUCAGCGGUGAAAGCCCGGGGCCCAACCCCGGAAGUGCCGUUGAUACUGGCGGGCUGGAAUGCGGUCGAGGCGGGCGGAACGUGGCGUGUAGCGGUGAAAUGCGUAGAUAUGCCACAGAACGCCGAUAGCGGAGGCAGCUCGCCAGGCCAGCAUUGACGCUCGGGCACGAAAGCGUGGGGAUCGAACAGGAUUAGAUACCCUGGUAGUCCACGCCGUAAACGAUGGGCGCUCGUCGUCGGCGGCACAGUGUCGGCGGCCAAGCGAAAGCGAUAAGCGCCCCACCUGGGGAGUACGGUCGCAAGGCUGAAACUCAAAGGAAUUGACGGGGGCCCGCACAAGCGGUGGAGCAUGUGGUUUAAUUCGAUGAUACGCGAGGAACCUUACCCGGGCUUGAACUCAGGGGGAAGGACCGGGAGACCGGAACGUCAGCAAUGACUCCCUGAGAGGUGCUGCAUGGUUGUCGUCAGCUCGUGCCGUGAGGUGUCGGGUCAAGUCCCAUAACGAGCGCAACCCCUGCGUCCAGUUGCCAGCGAGCGAGGUCGGGCACUCUGGACGGACUGCCCACGCAAGUGGAGAGGAAGGCGGGGAUGACGUCAAAUCAGCACGGCCCUUACGUCCGGGGCGACACACGUGCUACAAUGGGGGGCACAGAGGGGAGCCACGCGGCGACGCGGAGCGGAUCCCGAAAGCCCCUCACAGUCCGGAUCGGGGGCUGCAACCCGCCCCCGUGAAGCUGGAAUCGCUAGUAAUCGCGCAUCAGCCAUGGCGCGGUGAAUACGUUCCCGG
rnacentral:rRNA from 1 species